GCUGGUGUAGCUCAGUUGGUAGAGCAGCUGAUUUGUAAUCAGCAGGUCGGGGGUUCGAGUCCCUUCACCAGCU
rnacentral:tRNA from 1 species